GGGGGUGGAGGGACUGCUUCUUUGAAGGAGGCCCACCCGGACGGAAGCCGUGGAGCUGGGAAGCCCUGAUGCUAAGCCUGUAUCAUCUCCUCUCUGGACCUUGGCAAUCACUUCUUCACCGGUCUCCCAGUUUACAGUCAAGCCUCUACCGGUUUCCCAGCCAAGAGCAAGAGUGGUCUAAUAAAAAUGCCAGUCUGACCAUGUCACCCUUCCCACCCCAUUUCACAGCCUUCAGCGGCCUCCCCAUGGCCCUUGGAAUAAAAUCCAAACUCCUGACCCAGCCUUACAAGGACUUGCACAGUCUGGCUCACCUCAUGCCAAGCCCCACCUCCUCAACGGACCUUUCUUAAUUCAACAAAUAUUGAGUGCCUAUUGUACCAGGCCUGAGGAUUUUGUGGUUCACCUGAAACGCCUCCUCCUCUGUGAAGCCUUCCACAAGCAGAGCCCACUGACCACCAUAUCACCAGUAUACCUGUGGGGUUUCCCUACCCUGAGCACAUCUGCUUCCCUCAUUGGACCGGGAGCUCUCAGAAGGUAGUGACUCUGAUUCACUUCUCUGCCCUCCGUGUAGACAGCACUGAUGGCACGCACCAGCAUGUUGUGCUGGACAGCCGUCUGCACCCACCUCCCAGGGGCUCUCUUCUACUGCCACAGCCCCCCUCAAGCACGGGGGCCGCUCUGCUCCCCAGAUCCACCCUGGUUCAUAUGUGUCUAGAACUCCCCUCUCCCUGGCCCUCUGUUCCAUAUUUACCUCCUGAAAUUCUAAUUAAUCACACCUCCUCCUCAGGCCUCCAAAGGAAUUAAAAAACAAUAACAACAAAAAA